CAGUAGCCACGGGAAUACGGAGGGAGCUAGCGUUGUUCGGAAUUACUGGGCGUAAAGCGCGCGUAGGCGGUUACUCAAGUCAGAGGUGAAAGCCCGGGGCUCAACCCCGGAACUGCCUUUGAAACUAGGUGACUAGAAUCUUGGAGAGGUCAGUGGAAUUCCGAGUGUAGAGGUGAAAUUCGUAGAUAUUCGGAAGAACACCAGUGGCGAAGGCGACUGACUGGACAAGUAUUGACGCUGAGGUGCGAAAGCGUGGGGAGCAAACAGGAUUAGAUACCCCAGUAGUCCCUGUCUCUUAUAU
rnacentral:rRNA from 1 species